GUAUUUAACUUGCUGCAUCAAAUCAGGCUUUCAAUUUUUUGCUGAUUAUCAAAUCUAAGCUUUUGUAGAUUGAACAACAUUGAACAAUAACCGCUGUCCCACACACACGAAGUCUGCUAUCCAAGACUACCCAGAUCCUUUGCACUCCCAUCAUUCAUUAAUCACUCAUGAACCAGAACUCAUCUACCAGUACACCAGUUAAACACUGACAGCACAGUUUAAGAAUGAAAAACUGGGGAAGUAAAAAAAAUAACUGACAUGUCAAAACAUGAAUGAUAUACAAGACUAGAAAAGUACAGUGACAGGCUAAGCUGACAGGAACCAGACUGAAUGCGGAAAACAGUGAUGAGAGAAAAUACAGAAGAAACAAAUUCAUUAGUAUCAUGACUUACAUCUCGUAUGCCACGUAUUGUCCUGUUCAAUUCUGAAGCUAAAUACAAAGUUUCAUUUGUUUUUCAUUUACAAACUUAACUACUUUAAAAGUUUCAGUGGAUUAACAAUGACUCACAAUUUAAUGUUAAAAUAUAUUUCAUAAUAUUAAUUUCAGAUUACUUGUUAAAAGGAUUAAAGGGUGGUCAGGUACUGGAAUGGGCUGCUCAGAAAGUUGGUGGCGUCACUGAUCCUGGAGGUGUUCAAGGAACAAGGUGCUGAGGGACAUGGUUUAGUGAGAACCAUUGGUGAUGGGUGAAUGGUUGGACUGGAUGAUCCUGUGGGUCUUUUCCAACCUCUGUGAUUCUAUGAACGCAUAAAGUUUCACUUAGAACAGUAUUUUCCACACAGAAAUACAGUUCCAUUUGAGAGUUUCAGGUUUUCAUGUUCAACACAUACUCUUUCUGACAUUGCCUUGGAAACCACUUUGUAGCUAAGGCUCAUCUUUAAUUUCUGAAGAGCUCAAAUGCCUGCUUGAAGAAAUAGUAGAAAGAAAAACACAUAUGUAGAUGACAAAGCCCAUCAUAUGGCAUAUACGAGCCCCAUGGAUUUUAGCCUUGAAACCCUUAUUGGACUUACCAACUUAAGAAGUUAAGCUAUUUAAUAUAUAAGCAUCUCAAAACUUAUAAAUUAUUUCACAUUUCAAUUAUAAUCAAACUGGAAAAUUAAUACUGUGUUAAUUCAGUUGUAGCUCUAUAUUCUGCAUAAACUACAAGCUAUAGAAAACUGUUUAGUUAUGUAUUUUAAAGAAACAGCAGCACAGAUGAGUUUCAAAUGAUUAGGAAUCAAGCUAUGUAGAAUCCUGCCUGUAAAUUUUACAGAGUGAUUCUAAUCAGAAUAAUGAAUUGAUUCACUGUAUCAAAGUAGAAGAUACAUCUUUGUAACACCCCCACAAAAGUCCUAGCUAAUUACAUUUUUCUUUGAUAGCAAUUAAAAUACAUACAACUCGUAGCAGCUCUAACAUACUUUUCCCAUUGGGAAAUCACUGAAUUAUUUGAGUUGGAAGGGACAUUUAAAGGUCACCUAGUCCAACUCCCCUUCUAUGAACAGUGACAUCUACAGGUAGCACAAAGACUGACUCCAUCUGACACUGAACAGCUCCAGGGACAGAAGUAAGUCUCCUUCUUUCUUACAGUCCCAAUUUUAGACACUGAAAGGCCACUCUCAGGUCUUUGUUGACAGUUUACGGACUGGUCUGGCCUGGUUUCAUGACUAGUGGGGCGGAGGGAUUUUUUUUUUUUUUUUUUUUUUUGCAAAAUCCACGCCUCUAGAAAAGGGAAACAGAGGACCCCUCCACAAAAAAGAAUAAAUUAAAAAAACAGCAGCAAUGAUCUGAGGAGAAACAAACUGAUUUAUUAUAGUGUGUUAUUGUGCAUUCUGAUAAUAUAAUACAAUAUAAUUCAAUAUAAUUGUUAAAAAAAUCAAAUAUAAUUGAGAGAAGGAUUGUCCAAGAGCUAAAGGCCUUACACUAAUACUGAAACCUUGUGUGCAGUUGGGAGCAGCAGCGAGAUGAUCCGAAAGCAAGCACAACAAGACGAGAAGACGACCCAGGUAGCUUUACUCAGUCAUAGACAUCACUGACAACUGGCACUGCCUGAGCCUUGUUGGAAAUCAUAGUAGAAAAGAGUUGCCAAGCACAUCCUUGCCUCCCACUCACAUCUUCAGUCUGACUCUCAUUCUCAUCAUACCCUACUGUGAGGGUGAAGGGAAUAGCAGAACUGCUGAUUAUAAAACCAGUAGCAAGAAAUAUGAGUAUUCUACAGGAGUAUUUUACAACUGGGAUGGGAAUCAGGACUACACCCCAUGGAAAAGACCCAUGAUGGAGCAGUUCUUGAAUUGCAGACCAUGGGAAGACCAUACUGGAACAGCUCCAGAAGGACUGUAUCCCAUGAGAGGGACUUCACCCUGGAGCAGGGGAAGAGAGUAGAGGAAGGAGAAACCAAGACAAACCAUUAUGGACCAGGAGCUGAGUCUGGGAAGAACGUGAGUGGGGAAAAAGAUGGUUUUCGUUUGUUUUUAUUUCUCACUAUUCUACUUCAUUAUUAACUGGCCAUAAAGUAUAGAAUCACAGAAUCAUGGAAUUACUCAGGUUGGAAAGGACCUUAAAGAUCAUCAAGUCCAACCGCAGCCUAACCGUAGUACCCUAACUCUAACAACCUUCUGCUAAAUCGUAUCUCUGAGCACCACAUCCAAAUGGCUCUUAAACACAUCCAGGGACGGUGACUCAACCACCUCCCUGGGGAGCCUAUUCCUGUGUUUAACCACCCUUUCUGUAAAGGAGGGUUUCUUAAUGUCCAAUCUAAGCUUACCCUGGUGCAACUUGAGGCCAUUUCCCCUUGUCUUGUCACCUGUCACCAGUGAGAAGAGACCUACCUCGCUUUCACUGAAAGCACCUUCCAGGUAAUGGAAGAGAGUAAUAAGGUCUCCCCCUCAGCCUCCUCUUCCCCAGACUAAACAGCCCCAGCUCUCUCAGCCUCUCCUCAUAGGGCUGAUUUUCCAUGCCCUUCACUAGCCUCAUUACCCUUCUCUGGACCUGCUCCACUACCUCCAUGUCCUUCUUGUACUGAGGUGCCCAAGAAGGAACACAGUACUCAAGGUGAGGCCUCACCAAUGCCGAGCACAGGGGCAGGAUGACUUUGCUAGUCCUGCUCACCACACCAUUCCUGAUACAAGCCAGGAUGCCAUUGGCUGCCUUGGCCACCUGGGCACACUGCUGGCUCAUAUUCAGCUGACUGUCCAUCAGUACACCAGGGUCCCUUUCCAUCAGGCAGCUUUCCAGCCACAAAUUACUCUUUAACAAAUGAAGUCUGUUUUGCCUCUCAUUUGUUGAGCAACCUCCAUGUCCUUAUCUCAAGUUUUUUUUUGUUUUGUUUGUUUGUUUUUUCCCCCAAUAUUUUCCUCCCCGUUUUGCUGUGCAGAGGGAGAAUGAGAGUGACCUUUUGGGCACCCAGCAGCCAGACAAGGUUAACACACCACAGAAGAGUAAAAUUUUAGAACAAACUUGUGUUACAUUACCAGACUCAGACAUACUUUUUGUGAGGAAAAUUAUCCUGAGCUACACCAAGAAUUUCUUACUAAGAUUCCCACAUCUGGCAAAACUACUCUUCCCACAGACUAUCAAAAUAUAUUCACCAAGAUGCACUAAAAAGUACAGUGAAACAUAUGCUGGGAAAGUGUGAACAGAUUUACUCUUGGCAAAAUAUAUACUAUUACAUUCUAACUGCUUGAGAAAUAACCUCACAUUACUUAUCUUCAUGCUUUAGAACUAUUAAGGAUUUUUCCUGGCAUGAAAAGAUUAAAAGACUUCCUAGAGUGUUUUAGGAAAAUGACCUUCCAAGGUAAUAGCUAUUUCAUAUUGUUUUGUAAUGUUAUCCACUACUUUGACUUGACAAAAGGCUAUUCAUUAUUUUGACACUUUUCUAUGUGGCACUUAGUUCUGAACCUAAGCAACAUAACAAAAAUAUUUCUCUACUUUUAUGUCCAUAUUUAAUAUUUAACCUACAGAAUUUGUCACUUCAUUCUUGAAGUGCUUCAUUUUUUUUUUUUUUAAGAUCUUCGUGAAAAAUCAAAGACUUUGAGUCCCAAAGAAGUCAUAGUCACGCUUCCCCAAGGCCUCUGUCACAGUUCCCCAGAAUAUCCUUCUCUCUAAACUGGAGAGAUCUGGAUUUGAUGAGUGGAACAUUCAAUGGGAAAUGAGCUGAUUAUGAGAUUGUACCCAGAGAUUGGUGGUCAAUGGCUCAGUGUCCACAUUAGUAAUGAGUGGUGUCCCUUAAGAGUUCCCUUAAGAGAACCCCUUAAAGAGUAACUUUAAUUGGUUAUUAAAGAACCAAUGUUCUUUAAUAACUUUGUCAAUGACAUUAACAGUGGGAUCAAGUCAUUCACAAACUUGUUGAAGGUGCACACCAAGCUGUGUGGUAUGGUCAUCAAACCUGAGAAACAGGAUGUCAUUCAGAGAUACUUAGGCUUAAGCAGUGGCCCAGGUGAAUCUCAUGAGGUCCAGCAAACCCAAGUGCAGGUCUUGCAUAUGGGGUCUUGGCAACUAAUACAAGGUGGGGGACAUAAGGAUUGAGCACAGCCCUGCUGUGAAGAACUUGGAGGUACUGGUGGAUGGGAAGCUUGACAUGAGUCAGUCUCAUGACCUUGCAGCCCAGAAAGCCAACCAUACCCUGGGCUGCAUCAAAAGAAGUGUAACUAGCAGGUCAAGGGAGGUGAUCCUGACCCCCUGUUCUGUGCUGUUGAGACCCCACCUAGAGUACUGCACCAAAAUCACCUCCCUCAACCUCUGGUCACACUUCUCUUGACACAACCCAGGAUAUGAUUGGCCUUCUGGGCUGCAAAUGCACAUUGCCCACUCAUGUUGAAUCUUUCAUCAACCGACACCAACUCCUCAGGGCUGCUCUCAAGCCAUUUUACACCCAACCUGUAUCUGUGCUUGGGAUUACCCUGACCCAGGUGUGGGACCCUGCACUUGACCCUGUUGGACUCCAUGAGGUCAGCAUCAGUCCACCUCUCAAGCCUGUCCAGGUCCAUCUAGAUAACAUCUUUCAGUAUCUAAAGGGGAGUUGCAAGAAAGAAGGGGACAGACUCUUUCCUGUCCAUGGAGAGAUUUAGUGUCAGACUGGACCAGAUUGUGAGCAACACAAUCUAGAUGUAGAUAUCCUUAUUCAUCACAAGGGAUUUAAACUAGAAGGCUUUGAAAGGUCAAACAUUCUAUAAUUUCACCAGCCUAUUCCACUAUAGAGGGUUGACAUGACAAGUGCAGACGUGACACCUCACUGAAUGCCAUACAAUCAGAUGCAGCCCACCAAUACAGAUACCUCUGUAGAGCAUUUAUACCAUUAAGCAAGUCCUAACUUAGUGCCAUCUGCAAAUCUAUUGAGAGUGCACUUGAGCCCCACAUCAGCAUCACUGAUAUUAAGCAAUAUUAGUC